GAGGGUAUAGUUCAAAUGGUGGAGCGCAUGCCUAGCAUGCACAAGGUCCUGGGUUCAAUCCCCAGUACCUCCU
rfam:Camelus ferus unplaced genomic scaffold scaffold576, whole genome shotgun sequence.